rnacentral:miRNA from 1 species
UAGCUUCUUGCUAAAACAUGCC